GAUGAACGCUGGCGGCGUGCCUAAUACAUGCAAGUCGAGCGAACAGACGAGGAGCUUGCUCCUCUGACGUUAGCGGCGGACGGGUGAGUAACACGUGGAUAACCUACCUAUAAGACUGGGAUAACUUCGGGAAACCGGAGCUAAUACCGGAUAAUAUAUUGAACCGCAUGGUUCAAUAGUGAAAGACGGUUUUGCUGUCACUUAUAGAUGGAUCCGCGCCGCAUUAGCUAGUUGGUAAGGUAACGGCUUACCAAGGUAACGAUGCGUAGCCGACCUGAGAGGGUGAUCGGCCACACUGGAACUGAGACACGGUCCAGACUCCUACGGGAGGCAGCAGUAGGGAAUCUUCCGCAGUGGGCGAAAGCCUGACGGAGCAACGCCGCGUGAGUGAUGAAGGUCUUCGGAUCGUAAAACUCUGUUAUUAGGGAAGAACAAAUGUGUAAGUAACUAUGCACGUCUUGACGGUACCUAAUCAGAAAGCCACGGCUAACUACGU
rnacentral:rRNA from 1 species